CAGCCGCCACGGGAAUACGAAGGGGGCUAGCGUUGCUCGGAAUGACUGGGCGUAAAGGGCGCGUAGGCGGCGGCCAAAGUCAGACGUGAAAUCCCCGGGCUCAACCUGGGACCUGCAUUUGUGACUGUAUAGCUAGAGUACGGUAGAGGGGGAUGGAAUUCCGCGUGUAGCAGUGAAAUGCGUAGAUAUGCGGAGGAACACCGAUGGCGAAGGCAAUCCCCUGGACCUGUACUGACGCUCAUGCACGAAAGCGUGGGGAGCAAACAGGAUUAGAUACCCGCGUAGUCCCUGUCUCUUAUAC
rnacentral:rRNA from 1 species